rnacentral:rRNA from 1 species
UAGUCUGGGAAACUGCCUGAUGGAGGGGGAUAACUGCUGGAAACGGUAGCUAAUACCGCAUAACGUCGCAAGACCAAAGUGGGGGACCUUCGGGCCUCAUGCCAUCAGAUGUGCCCAGAUGGGAUUAGCUAGUAGGUGGGGUAACGGCUCACCUAGGCGACGAUCCCUAGCUGGUCUGAGAGGAUGACCAGCCACACUGGAGCUGAGACACGGUCCAG